UGAGUAACCUGCCCUUAACUCUGGGAUAAGCCUGGGAAACUGGGUCUAAUACCGGAUAUGACUCCUCAUCGCAUGGUGGGGGGUGGAAAAGCUUUUUAUUGGUUUGGGUUU
rnacentral:rRNA from 1 species